rnacentral:rRNA from 1 species
GACGAACGCUGGCGGCGUGCCUAAUACAUGCAAGUAGAACGCUGAAGCUUGGUGCUUGCACCGAGCGGAUGAGUUGCGAACGGGUGAGUAACGCGUAGGUAACCUGCCUGGUAGCGGGGGAUAACUAUUGGAAACGAUAGCUAAUACCGCAUAAGAGUAGAUGUUGCAUGACAUUUGCUUAAAAGGUGCAAUUGCAUCACUACCAGAUGGACCUGCGCUGUAUUAGCUAGUUGGUGAGGUAACGGCUCACCAAGGCAACGAUACAUAGCCGACCUGAGAGGGUGAUCGGCCACACUGGGACUGAGACACGGCCCAGACUCCUACGGGAGGCAGCAGUAGGGAAUCUUCGGCAAUGGACGGAAGUCUGACCGAGCAACGCCGCGUGAGUGAAGAAGGUUUUCGGAUCGUAAAGCUCUGUUGUAAGAGAAGAACGAGUGUGAGAGUGGAAAGUUCACACUGUGACGGUAUCUUACCAGAAAGGGACGGCUAACUACGUG